rnacentral:rRNA from 1 species
AUUGAACGCUGGCGGCAGGCCUAACACAUGCAAGUCGAGCGAGUGGCGGACGGGUGAGUAAUGUAUGGGGAUCUGCCCGAUAGAUGGGGAUAACUACUGGAACCGGUGGCUAAUACCGCAUCCUCUCGGAUGUACCCAUAUGGGAUUAGCUAGUAGGUGGGGUAAAGGCUAACCUAGGCGACGAUCUCUAGCUGGUCUGAGAGGAUGAUGAGCCACACGGGGACUGAGAAACGGCACAGACUCCUACGGGAGGCAGCAGUGGGGAAUAGUGCACAAUGGGCGCAAGCCUGAUGCAGCCAUGCCGCGUGUAUGAAGAAGGCCUUCGGGUUGUAAAGUACUUUCAGCGGGGAGGCGUUACCCGCAGAAGAAGCACCGGCUAACUCCGUGCCAGCCGCCGCGGUAAUAC